rnacentral:rRNA from 1 species
UACAGAGGGCGCGAGCGUUGUUCGGAAUUAUUGGGCGUAAAGGGCGCGUAGGCGGUGCGGUAAGUCACCUGUGAAAUCUCCUGGCUCAACUGGGAGCUUGCAGGCGAAACUGCCGUGCUGGAGUGUGGGAGAGGUGCGUGGAAUUCCUGGUGUAGCGGUGAAAUGCGUAGAUAUCGGGAGGAACACCUGUGGCGAAAGCGGCUCACUGGACCAUAACUGACGCUGAUGCACGAAAGCUGGGGGAGCAAACAGG